rnacentral:tRNA from 1 species
GACCAUAUGAUCUAAUGGUUAUGAUAGGACUUCUUCGUAGUCUUUAUAUGAGUUCAAAUCUCAUUAUGGUUA